AUUGAACGCUGGCGGCAGGCCUAACACAUGCAAGUCGAACGAGUGGCGGACGGGUGAGUAAUGUCUGGGAAACUGCCCGAUGGAGGGGGAUAACUACUGGAAACGGUAGUUAAUACCGCAUACCAUCAGAUGUGCCCAGAUGGGAUUAGCUUGUUGGUGGGGUAACGGCUCACCAAGGCGACGAUCCCUAGCUGGUAUGAGAGGAUGACCAGCCACACGGGAACUGAGACACGGUCCAGACUCCGACGGAGGGCAGAAUUGGGGAAUUGUGGACAAUGGGGGCAAGCCUGAUGCGGCCAUGCCGCGUAUAUGAAGAGGGCCUUCGGGUUGUAAAGUACUUUCAGCGAGGAGGCGUUACCCGCAGAAGAAGCACCGGCUAACUCCGUGCCAGCAGCCGCGGUAAUAC
rnacentral:rRNA from 1 species